GGGUGACGAAGCGACGCCGCGUGGGUGAGGAAGGCCCUCGGGUUGUAAAGCCCUGUCAGGAGUUAAGAAAUGGAGAUACGCUAAUAUCGUAUCUAUUUGACAAAGGCUCCAAAGGAAGCCACGGCUAACUCUGUGCCAGCAGCCGCGGUAAUACAGAGGUGGCAAGCGUUGUUCGGAAUUAUUGGGCGUAAAGAGCACGUAGGUGGAUUUGUAAGUCAGAUGUGAAAGCCUUCUGUUCAACGGAAGAAUUGCAUCUGAAACUACAAACCUUGAGUAUAGGAGGGGAGAAUGGAACUUCUGGUGGAGCGGUGAAAUGCGUAGAUAUCAGAAGGAACGCCGGCGGCGAAAGCGAUUCUCUGGCCUAUUACUGACACUCAGUGUGCGAAAGCUAGGGGAGCAAACGGGAUUAGAUACCCCGGUAGUCCUAGCCGUAAACGAUGGGCACUAAGUAGAGG
rnacentral:rRNA from 1 species